UGGAAAAGUGUAACAUGGAUGUAGUGAUAUUGAAGAACUAAUAACAGUUAUAUUUUUCUGUAAUGUUAAUACUAUUUUUGAUGGAAUCAUAGUCGAUUAAACAACACGCCAACUUAAAUUCGACCAGCAGGGUAAUGAUACACUAUGCAUACGGUAUAUGAAAUAUUAAGUAUACAUUCUAUGAUAUCAAGUAUACACUGU
rnacentral:lncRNA from 1 species